rnacentral:rRNA from 1 species
UACGUAGGGUGCGAGCGUUAAUCGGAAUUACUGGGCGUAAAGCGUGCGCAGGCGGCUUUGCAAGACAGAUGUGAAAUCCCCGGGCUCAACCUGGGAACUGCAUUUGUGACUGCAAGGCUAGAGUACGGCAGAGGGGGAUGGAAUUACGCGUGUAGCAGUGAAAUGCGUAGAUAUGCGGAGGAACACCAAUGGCGAAGGCAAUCCCCUGGGCCUGUACUGACGCUCAUGCACGAAAGCGUGGGGAGCAAACAGG